rnacentral:rRNA from 1 species
UAGGGAAUCUUCCACAAUGGGCGAAAGCCUGAUGGAGCAACGCCGCGUGUGNGAUGAAGGGUUUCGGCUCGUAAAACACUGUUGUAAGAGAAGAAUGACAUUGAGAGUAACUGUUCAAUGUGUGACGGUAUCUUACCAGAAAGGAACGGCUAAAUACGUGCCAG